rnacentral:rRNA from 1 species
GACAGAGGUGCCAAGCGUUAGGCGGAAUCACUGGGCUUAAAGCGUGUGUAGGCGGAUUUGUAAGUACCUUGUGAAAUCCCACGGCUCAACCGUGGAACUGCUCGGUAUACUGCUUAUCUUGAGCCACUUAGGGGCUACCGGAACAAAUGGUGGAGCGGUGAAAUGCGUAGAUAUCGUAAGGAAGACCAGUGGCGAAGGCGGGUCUCUGGACAGUUCCUGACGCUGAGGCACGAAGGCCAGGGGAGCAAACGGG